GCGCCGUUGUGCGAAGGAGAUAGAAGAUCGGAUUGAAAAUCCUUGUGUCGGUGGUUCGAUUCCGCCACGGGCCACCA
rnacentral:tRNA from 1 species